rnacentral:piRNA from 1 species
UCUAAAGAACAAAAAGUGAGAACUCCCUGG